AUGGCUCAUUAUAUAAGUUAUCGUUUAUUUGAUAGUACCUUACUACUUGGAUAACCGUGGUAAUUCUAGAGCUAAUACAUGCUAAAAAUCCCGACUCCGGAAGGGAUGUAUUUAUUAGAUUAAAAACCAAUGCCCUCUGGGCUCCUUGGUGAUUCAUGAUAACUUUUCGAAUCGCAUGGCCUUGCGCCGGCGAUGGUUCAUUCAAAUUUCUUCCCUAUCAACUUUCGAUGUUUGGGUAUUGGCCAAACAUGGUCGCAACGGGUAACGGAGGGUUAGGGCUCGACCCCGGAGAAGGAGCCUGAGAAACGGCUACUACAUCCAAGGAAGGCAGCAGGCGCGCAAAUUACCCAAUCCCGAUUCGGGGAGGUAGUGACAAUAAAUACUGAUACAGGGCUCUUUUGGGUCUUGUAAUUGGAAUGAGUACAAUUUAAAUCCCUUAACGAGGAACAAUUGGAGGGCAAGUCUGGUGCCAGCAGCCGCGGUAAUUCCAGCUCCAAUAGCGUAUAUUAAAGUUGUUGUGGUUAAAAAGCUCGUAGUUGAACCUUGGGCCUGGCUGGCCGGUCCGCCUCACCGCGUGCACUGGUCCGGCCGGGCCUUUCCCUCUGUGGAACCCCAUGCCCUUCACUGGGUGUGGCGGGGAAACAGGACUUUUACUUUGAAAAAAUUAGAGUGCUCCAGGCAGGCCUAUGCUCGAAUACAUUAGCAUGGAAUAAUGAAAUAGGACGUGUGGUUCUAUUUUGUUGGUUUCUAGGACCGCCGUAAUGAUUAAUAGGGACAGUCGGGGGCAUCAGUAUUCAAUUGUCAGAGGUGAAAUUCUUGGAUUUAUUGAAGACUAACUACUGCGAAAGCAUUUGCCAAGGAUGUUUUCAUUAAUCAGGAACGAAAGUUAGGGGAUCGAAGACGAUCAGAUACCGUCGUAGUCUUAACCAUAAACUAUGCCGACUAGGGAUCGGACGAUGUUA
rnacentral:rRNA from 1 species